rnacentral:lncRNA from 1 species
CUUUCUUCCACUGAAGGAUUCUCAUGCAUUGAUUCAUAUCCCGUUUUACUGGCAUUAAUGGUCUUUGAUCAUUUUCUAGGAAAGAAUAGGUAAGGCCUAAAUACCUGAGGAUUUUUAAUUUAGUGGCAUUUCUCCCACUCUUUUCUAGCCCCUAGUAUUGCCUCUGAGGAAGAUGGACCUAUUUUAAUUCCUGUUCUGCACACUGUGAACUUGAAAGACGUGGUCAUAUUGAGAAGAAUUAAAGUGUGCGAACCUCUCAGUGUGCGUACAGAACAUCUUCUGGUGGUUGAGAAGUUGAG